rnacentral:rRNA from 1 species
AUUGAACGCUGGCGGCGUGCCUUACACAUGCAAGUCGAACGGUAACAGGUCUUCGGAUGCUGACGAGUGGCGAACGGGUGAGUAAUACAUCGGAACGUGCCUAGUAGUGGGGGAUAACUACUCGAAAGAGUGGCUAAUACCGCAUGAGAUCUACGGAUGAAAGCAGGGGAUCGCAAGACCUUGUGCUACUAGAGCGGCCGAUGGCAGAUUAGGUAGUUGGGGGGAUAAAAGCUUACCAAGCCGACGAUCUGUAGCUGGUCUGAGAGGACGAUCAGCCACACUGGGACUGAGACACGGCCCAGACUCCUACGGGAGGCAGCAGGGGGGAAUUUUGGACAAUGGGCGCAAGCCUGAUCCAGCAAUGCCGCGUGCAGGAUGAAGGCCUUCGGGUUGUAAACUGCUUUUGUACGGAACGAAAAGCCCCGGGUUAAUACCCUGGGGUCAUGACGGUACCGUAAGAAUAAGCACCGGCUAACUACGUGCCAGCCGCCGCCGUAA